rnacentral:rRNA from 1 species
GUGGGGAAUCUUGCGCAAUGGGCGAAAGCCUGACGCAGCCAUGCCGCGUGAAUGAUGAAGGUCUUAGGAUUGUAAAAUUCUUUCACCGGGGACGAUAAUGACGGUACCCGGAGAAGAAGCUCCGGCUAACUUCGUGCCAGCAGCCGCGGUAAUACGAAGGGGGCUAGCGUUGCUCGGAAUUACUGGGCGUAAAGGGCGCGUAGGCGGACAGUUUAGUCAGAGGUGAAAGCCCAGGGCUCAACCUUGGAAUUGCCUUUGAUACUGGCUGUCUUGAGUACGGGGGAGGUGAGUGGAACUCCGAGUGUAGAGGUGAAAUUCGUAGAUAUUCGGAAGAACACCAGUGGCGAAGGCGACUCACUGGCCCGUUACUGACGCUGAGGCGCGAAAGCGUGGGGAGCAAACAGGAUUAGAUACCCCUGUAGUCC